rnacentral:rRNA from 1 species
GUGGGGAAUAUUGGACAAUGGGCGCAAGCCUGAUCCAGCCAUGCCGCGUGAGUGAUGAAGGCCUUAGGGUUGUAAAGCUCUUUCAGUAGGGAAGAUAAUGACGGUACCUACAGAAGAAGCCCCGGCUAACUUCGUGCCAGCAGCCGCGGUAAUACGAAGGGGGCUAGCGUUGUUCGGAUUUACUGGGCGUAAAGCGCACGUAGGCGGAAUGUUAAGUCAGAGGUGAAAUCCUGGAGCUCAACUCCAGAACUGCCUUUGAUACUGGCAAUCUCGAGUCCGGAAGAGGUGAGUGGAACUCCUAGUGUAGAGGUGGAAGUCGUAGAUAUUAGGAAGAACACCAGUGGCGAAGGCGGCUCACUGGUCCGGUACUGACGCUGAGGUGCGAAAGCGUGGGGAGCAAACAGGAUUAGAAACCCGAGUAGUCC